CCUACGGGCGGCAGCAGUGGGGAAUAUUGCACAAUGGGGGAAACCCUGAUGCAGCAACGCCGCGUGAGUGAAGAAGUAUUUCGGUAUGUAAAGCUCUGUCAGCAGGGAAGAAGAUGACGGUACCUGAAUAAGAAGCCCCUGCUAACUACGUGCCAGCAGCCGCGGUAAUACGUUGGGGGCAAGCGUUAUCCGGAUUUACUGGGUGGAAAGGGAGCGCAGACGGCAGUGCAAGUCUGGAGUGAAAGCCCGGGGCGCAACCCCGGAACUGCUCUGGAAACUGUGCGGCUAGAGUACUGGAGGGGCAGGCGGAAUUCCUGGUGUAGCGGUGAAAUGCGUAGAUAUUAGGAGGAACACCAGUGGCGAAGGCGGCCUGCUGGACAGUAACUGACGUUGAGGCUCGAAAGCGUGGGGAGCAAACAGGAUUAGAUACCCCAGUAGUC
rnacentral:rRNA from 1 species